AUCAAGAGAAGGACCUUGCGCACAAGAGCCAUCAAGCUCCUAGUCCUGGUUAGUUUGCUCUUUGUCAUGCUGCAGUUGUUUUUCUUUAAGUUAAUUUGGCCAGGUUCAAUGAUUCUAACAUGAUUUGAUUUCAUAACAGGACGAAGCCGAUGAGAUGUUGAGCAGAGGUUUCAAGGAUCAGAUAUAUGAUGUCUACAGAUAUCUUCCCCCAGAACUUCAGGUCCGUCUUUGAACUACUUGUUUGUGUAAUUUAUCAGCCUACCCUUUCAGGCUUUUCACUGCAGAAUUCAAGUUGUCACCUGACUGUAUUUCCCCCUCUAUAUAUCACCUUUCUGACUUGAUUUUUUCAUUGACGAACACCAACGUUUUACACCGUUUUCUACUGUAAUAAUCUUGCUGUAGCUAGCAAUGCAUGACAUUGUUAUUCACUAGUUAGCUGCAGGUGCGUUGCUAUGAAAAAUAGAAGUUCCUAAAAAGAAAGCCAAGGGAGAUAAAACAUGUCUAGAAAAAUAUUAUUAAAAUUCAUUAUAUUUUGCACCUGUUGGAUUCUUAGAUGCCCCUUUUUAUCUCUAGCCUCUAGUUAUUUCCUCCAUGCAUCUUUUUUACCUCUGCCUUUUACACUCUUCGUCUACCCUCUACCAUGGUGGAAAUAUUAUGGCGAAAUCUUCUUUGCAAAAACAGUAGACCUCUACUUCUAAUUGAACUAUUGCCAUAUACCUAACAGUUGCUUGCCCCUGAAAUAAGGACAAUAAUGGACCAAGGGCACAGAACUGCAUCAUACAGUAAAGAUCAAGGCAUGCACUUCAAUCACAAUCACAAUCAAAAAACUAAUCGAUGCCGACGAGGCUACAGAGGUGUCACUUCUGUUACUACACGCAGAGAGUAUACAGAAACUCAUGAGGAAAUAAAGAACUAAUAAGUUUGUUUAUAGUGAACAGAAUAGAGCAAUAACUCGAUAAUUAAUUUACUUAAUUCAGGGAUUUCUCCAUUGCCCGUGUGUAUCUCCCUUGUCUGAAACCCGUACAACAAUUCCUCUCUUUUGGGACCUCAUCAGGCAAGCAACGCAAAUAUCCGUAACUUCCAACAACCUUACUCUGCAGAUAUGAUAGUUGCCCACUAAUACAACUAUAGACAUGUAAGUCGGCCCAAAUCAUUUUAAUAAGCUAUUCUAGCAGCAGGUAUCUAAUACCAUGAUAUGAACUUACAAACUCCCAAGUCCUAGGCUGAGCCUACCCACUGCUGCUAUCCCCUUGCUGCCAUUCAUUUCUGAUCAGUGCAAGCUGCAAGCAGCCAAGCACAUAUUCAGCACUUAACAGAGCAAGCAAACCAGGGUAGAGAAAACACAGAGAAGUGAAAGGCUACCUGCUGGCCCAAAGGAAGUGUUAAUUAUCCCUAGGCCCUUUUUAUGCGACUUGAUCAAUCCUAGGCUUUUGGAAUAAUGUUUUGAGUAGAUGUAAAGAUCACACCAUAUGCAUGUUUAAAGCUUGUCAAAUAAAGGUUAACUAUCUAUCAUUGGGCUGUUUAAUUGCAUGAUUAUCUAAUAGUUAAGCGUUCAAUGUCAAUGCAGCAUAUAGCUAUAGACAAAAAAACAGAAGAGAACCUUGCAUGCAAACAGUAAUGGAUGGGAGCGCUCUAGAAAUAGCCACAUGAAACAUCACUGACUGUACUUUUUAUUAGGAGUUAAGAGAUAUUUGGGGACAGAUUGGGGUGCUCGCUCAUCUGUUUUGCGUUUCCUUCUAUUAUUCAUCAGCAUUACAUCAGUUGAACAUUUGUAACAUCCCUCAAGCAGUGAAAUGUAAUGGGAAAGUUAGCCUUUUCAAAUUAAUAUUGUUAACAUGAGCACGGCGUCUGUCGACUAGUAAUAGUUGUUCUCCAUGACAGAGAUUUUCUACUUUUCUAAUUGUGUAUUAUUGUACCACGCAGGUUGUUUUGAUCUCUGCAACUCUGCCCCAUGACAUCUUGGAGAUAACUAGCAAGUUCAUGACUGAUCCAGUCAGGAUCCUUGUAAAACGUGAUGAGUUGACCCUAGAGGUAAAUACUGCCACUUGUUUUGCUUUAUUGUAUGUUAUCUUAUUUGGCACUUACAUUUUCCAUGUCAUGUUUGUAGGGCAUCAAACAAUUCUUUGUUGCUGUUGAGAAAGAGGAAUGGAAGUUUGAUACACUAUGUGAUCUUUAUGAUACACUGACCAUCACCCAAGCAGUCAUUUUCUGCAACACUAAGAGAAAGGUAAUGUGUAGCUCAGUUGAAUGAUUCUUGUUGUUCAUAUGAUAACCCCUGGUGAAUUUCUGUUAUUUGAAGUACUCUGCUCUACUCCAGUUAGCAUUUGUCAACACCAAGUUCUUGUUUGUCCUUAUGGACAUGGCAUAUGCGUAUCGCUUUGUUGCUGAAUCUGCGUGUUGUUCCUUUUAUCCUGUUCCGUGCUGAGCAGUGCUAAAAUUUAAGUGUCACUAUGUUUUGGGUUUGCUAUUGGUUACACCAUUAAAUUCCGUGAUGAAUCGCUGUUAUUUGAAGUACUCUGCUCUACCCCAGUUAGCAUUUGUUGACACUAAUUUCUUGUUUGUCCUUAUGGACAUUGCACAUGCAUAUCACUUUGUUGCUGAAUCUGCGUGUUGUUCCUUUUAUCCUGUUAUGUGCUGAUCAGUGCUAAAAUUUAAGCCUGUCACUAUGUUUUGGGUUUGCUAUUAAAUUGUUGCUUCUUUGAGUUCAGAAGUUGAUGGUUCACAGCUUGCUAAAGCGAUAGUUGUCUUUUGUUCAGGUGGAUUGGCUUACUGAAAGGAUGCGCACCAACAACUUCACGGUGUCAGCUAUGCACGGUGACAUGCCUCAGAAGGAAAGGGAUGCGAUCAUGAGUGAGUUCAGGGGUGGCACGACCCGUGUUCUGAUCACAACCGAUGUUUGGGCUCGAGGGCUGGAUGUCCAGCAGGCAAGUCUUGUUUGCCAGUUUUAGCUUUCUUUCAUUUGUUGGUUACCUUUAAGCACGCUGUUGCAUAAUGAUGCUCAUCUUUGAUUACUGACUUGAAUCUGUUUGGAUUUGUUUCAGGUCUCUCUUGUCAUUAAUUACGAUCUCCCCAACAACCGUGAGCUUUACAUCCAUCGUAUUGGUCGCUCUGGGCGUUUUGGGCGCAAGGUAAAGUUCACACUCGUGCUUCAUAACUCAAGUUAGGUUAUGCGCUAGAGAAUUUUGGAUAUAGUUUCUGUGUUGCUAAAAAACAAUUAUUAAAAUGAUAAUGCUGUCUCAGUAAAGAAAUCAAUUGGAGUAAAUUUGGUGAUUAAACACUUUUUUUUUGUUUUAAAAUUCUUGUCGAAAGUGAAUAUGCAAGGCUUGACUAAUCUGAACUAAAUGUUUGUUCUCUGCAUCCCAAAUGUUGCCUACUCUGCCUUGACUUGCAUGAACUCUUUUCUGUGUGGCGUGACUGCAGGGUGUGGCCAUCAACUUUGUGCGCAAGGACGACAUCCGUAUCCUUCGGGACAUCGAGCAGUACUACAGCACGCAGAUCGACGAGAUGCCCAUGAACGUCGCUGAUCUUAUCUGAGCUCUGGACCGGAGCGAUCCCUCCCUCUCCCUCCCUCUUUGUCUCGGUGCGAUGUUUGGGGAUUUGGUUGCGUUGCGAUGUUUGGCUGUAUUUCUGGUGCUGUAACUUGAGAUUUCUUUUGUUGCUUUGGGAACAUGGGAAGUGUAUAUAUUCUUUCUCGGAUGGAUUGA
rnacentral:lncRNA from 1 species